rnacentral:rRNA from 1 species
CGCCAGCCCGCUCAGAAACUUAAGGAAUGACGGGGAGCACACAACGGGUGGAGCCUGCGGUUUAAUUGGAUUCAACGCCGGACAACUCACCGGAUACGACAGCGGAAUGAUAGCCGGGCUGAAGACUCUGCUUGACUAGCUGAGAGGAGGUGCAUGGCCGUCGUCAGUUCGUACUGUGAAGCAUCCUGUUAAGUCAGGCAACGAGCGAGACCCACGCCAACAGUUGCCAGCAUGAUCUCCGGAUUGAUGGGGACACUGUUGGGACCGCCUCUGCUAAAGGGGAGGAAGGAAUGGGCAACGGUAGGUCAGCAUGCCCCGAAUUAUCCGGGCUACACGCGGGCUACAAUGGAUGGGACAAUGGGUUUCGACACCGAAAGGUGAAGGUAAUCUCCUAACCCCACCCGUAGUUCGGAUUGCGGGCUGCAACUCGCCCGCAUGAAGCUGGAAUCCGUAGUAAUCGCGUCUCACGAUGGCGCGGUGAAUAUGUCCCUGCUCCUU